GAAGGAACACCAUGUACCUCGAAUCUUCUCAACUCAUGUCCCGACUAUAUGGCUUAGCCGAGGAGCUUUCUAAACUUUUUGCAGUAUAAUUCCAAAUCUGAACCGAAGGAAAAUGCGGGAUCCUGAUCCAUGAUUCAGGGCAAUGGACAGAGAUACAUAUGCGUAAGCUUAUCACAAAUGCAGUCCGAACGUCUUCAGGAAGAACUUAAAUACCUCCGAGACGAUGGAAUUUCAGUUUCAGAUUUUUCGAUCAGGAAUACCAGCUUUUUGGUCUCGUGAUGGUCGGGUACCCGACCGGCGAGGCAACCAAAAGGAUGUGAAGACCGAAAGAAAUGCAGAUCCAAAGAUUUACCCGACGAAUGGCGAGGAGCCGUGGCCCGUGGAUGAGGGGAAGCGAGCGGCGACUGACAAAAGACCCGAUGAACGGGGACCCACGAGAAAUGAAGAUCAAUUUCAGCAAAAUUGGGAGAGAGAAAAAAUCUCAUCAUCUCCUUUAAUAAACUCUAAUCUUAACCCUAAAUCAAAACCCUCGCGAUCACGUGGUAAGGGUUUCAAGAUUCGAUGGAUA